UUUAAAAAUGUGACAUAAAAUUCUUUGGAAAUUAAAAAAACGUAAAAUAGCUACGUUGUAUGCGUUUUGUCUGUGUACGAUACUUUCUCCCAAAAUACAAUAAUUUGGACGUUUUGGUACGAUAGUUGCAUAUUUCCUGUCUCGCAACACUGUUCCGGUGCGGAAAAACAAGAAGGAC